rnacentral:rRNA from 1 species
UAGGGAAUCUUCCGCAAUGGGCGAAAGCCUGACGGAGCAACGCCGCGUGAGUGAAGAAGGUUUUCGGAUCGUAAAACUCUGUUGUUAGAGAAGAACAAGUGCUAGAGUAACUGUUAGCGCCUUGACGGUAUCUAACCAGAAAGCCACGGCUAACUACGUGCCAGCAGCCGCGGUAAUACGUAGGUGGCAAGCGUUGUCCGGAUUUAUUGGGCGUAAAGCGAGCGCAGGCGGUUCCUUAAGUCUGAUGUGAAAGCCCCCGGCUCAACCGGGGAGGGUCAUUGGAAACUGGGGAACUUGAGUGCAGAAGAGGAGAGUGGAAUUCCAUGUGUAGCGGUGAAAUGCGUAGAUAUAUGGAGGAACACCAGUGGCGAAGGCGACUCUCUGGUCUGUAACUGACGCUGAGGCUCGAAAGCGUGGGUAGCAAACAGGAUUAGAUACCCUGGUAGUCCACGCCGUAAACGAUGAGUGCUAAGUGUUGGAGGGUUUCCGCCCUUCAGUGCUGUAGUUAACGCAUUAAGCACUCCGCCUGGGGAGUACGACCGCAAGGUUG